UGGGGAAUAUUGGGCAAUGGGCACAAGCCUGACCCAGCAACGCCGCGUGAAGGAAGAAGGCUUUCGGGUUGUAAACUUCUUUUAUCAGGGACGAAGCAAGUGACGGUACCUGAUGAAUAAGCCACGGCUAACUACGUGCCAGCAGCCGCGGUAAUACGUAGGUGGCGAGCGUUAUCCGGAUUUACUGGGUGUAAAGGGCGUGUAGGCGGGCUUGCAAGUCAGAUGUGAAAUUCCAGGGCUCAACCCUGGAACUGCAUUUGAAACUGUAGGUCUUGAGUGCUGGAGAGGCAAUCGGAAUUCCGUGUGUAGCGGUGAAAUGCGUAGAUAUACGGAGGAACACCAGUGGCGAAGGCGGAUUGCUGGACAGUAACUGACGCUGAGGCGCGAAAGCGUGGGGAGCAAACAGGAUUAGAUACCC
rnacentral:rRNA from 1 species